AGCCAUCGAUCCGGAGAUUUCUGAAUGGGGAAACCUACUUGAGCAAACCUCAAGUAUCCGUACGUGAAUCCAUAGCGUGCGGAAGGGAACGUUGUGAACUGAAACAUCUAAGUAGCAAUAGGAGGAGAAAGAAACAUCGAUUUCCUGAGUAGCGGCGAGCGAAAGGGAAAGAGGCCAAACCGAAGGACCUGGUUCUUCGGGGUUGCGGACCGCAUAUGGCGAUGGAGGCUAUGGUAGUCGAACUGUUUUGGGAAAGCAGACCAGAGACGGUGAAAGUCCGGUAGACGAAACCAGAAGACCCGCCGCGGGAUCCAGAGUACCACGGGACACGAGAAACCCUGUGGGAAGCCGGGGGGACCACCCCCCAAGCCUAAAUACUCCCCAGUGACCGAUAGUGAAGCAGUACUGUGAAGGAAAGGUGAAAAGAACCCCGGGAGGGGAGUGAAAAAGAACCUGAAACCUUGUGCUUACAAACAGUCAGAGGACGCAAGUCUGAUGGCGUACUUUUUGUAGAACGGUCCGGCGAGUUACUAAUGCCAGCGAGGUUAAGCACUCAGAAGGUGCGGAGCCGAAGGGAAACCAAGUCUGAACAGGGCGUAAAGUUAGUAUUAGUAGACCCGAAACCGGGUGACCUAUCCAUGUCCAGGUUGAAGGAGCCGUAAAAGGCUUUGGAGGACCGAACACACAUCUGUUGAAAAAGGUGGUGAUGAGGUGUGGAUAGCGGAGAAAUUCCAAUCGAACUCGGAGAUAGCUGGUUCUCCUCGAAAUAGCUUUAGGGCUAGCCUCGAGAUGGAGUCUAACGGAGGUAAAGCACUGAACUGACGCGGGGCCCAAAAAGGUUACCAACUCAUAUCAAACUAAGAAUGCCGUCAAGAUACCCUCGGGAGUCAGUCUGCGUGAGAUAAGUCGCGUGGACAAAAGGGAAAGAGCCCAGACCGACAGCUAAGGUCCCAAAGUACGUGUUAAGUGGAAAAGGAUGUGGGAUUUCAUAGACAACUAGGAUGUUGGCUUAGAAGCAGCCAUACAUUUAAAGAGUGCGUAACAGCUCACUAGUCGAGAAAACCUGCGCCGAAAAUUUAACGGGGCUAAAACACGACACCGAAGCUACGGCUUGACAGCUAACGCUGUUAGGGGUAGAGGAGCAUCCUGCAAGGACGAAGCCAAAGUGAGAACGAUGGUGGACGAAACAGGAGAGAGAAUGCCGGAAUGAGUAGCGAGAUAGAAGUAAGAAACUUCUAGGCCGAAUAUCUAAGGUUUCCUGGGUAAAGCUAAUCUUCCCAGGGUUAGUCGGGGCCUAAGGCGAGGACGAAAGUCGUAGUCGAUGGAUAACAGGUUGAUAUUCCUGUACUACGUAUUAUCAGAACUGUGGGGACGCAGGAGGAUAGGAAAACCGGGGAAUGGAAAGACCCGGCCAAGUACAAAGUCAAGGAAGAUAGGCAAAUCCGUCUUUUGAUGAUGAAGUGCGAUGGGGACUGAAUAAAAGUAGGGAAGUUUCCGAAUCCACACUGUCGAGAAAAGCCGCUAUUGU
rnacentral:rRNA from 1 species